rnacentral:piRNA from 1 species
UGGGCAGAUUUGCACAGUUUUGUGCUUUCCAG